CCGCACCCGCGGGGCUCAGCCCCGAAGGCUGCAGCUUCGGGGGAGGCGCGGUCGCCGAGGUCCAGCUGGUGGGGCGAGAGACGUCGCCCCUCGGAGGAUGCUCUCGGAACUUGGGAGAGGAAGGAGGGAAGAGAAGAGGGGAAAGGGGCCGUCGAUGUUUUUGAUGUCUGUGCUUUAAUGGAGGCCACCAAUAUUGAGAAGACGGGGUUGGCCGAGGCAGCCCGCACGCUGCUGCUUGCGAGCGCUCGAGUCAAAGCUAGGGCCAACCGCGGCUUGUCCGGGUGCCCUAAGGGGGCGGACACUUGGUUUAGCACCGGGACACAGAAUAGCCACCGGGGUAGGAAGAUGCGUUCACUUUGCUUACCUGUUGGCAAGAGGGACAUACAAAAAUAACGUAACGUGACAUCGUUGACAACGGUAGCUCUUUGAUUACACAAAAGCCAAUUUUACCUUCCCGCAAAAGCCAGUUGACGCCUUUGGAACUUUUAUUUGCGGCAUUUUGGCGCCCUCUGGCUGUGUUUGGAUCGCUUUCAUGCUCGCCUGCGUCCCAGCCAAGAAAAAAUCGAUGGAGCUGCAGGUUGUCCUCAGGAUGGUUCUGCCCUCAGGACCUGGGCGUGAAUUCAGGGACAGGGUGGCCCUCCAGAACCGGAGUGACAAACUGUAACCAUACUUAGGGAGGCAGACGUCAAAGGCAAGUACAUCUGUAUUCAACUGGGUAAAGCCAUGUGAAGACGUGCCUGCCUCCCUGUUACCUUCCACCAUGAUUGUAAGCUUCCUGAGGCCUCCCCAGCCAUGCCUGCUGUAUAGCCUGCAGAACAGUCAGCUGAGAGCUGUGACUCUGCUCUGUGUGUCUUCAUUCUGGGAUCAAGCUCACCUGGGCCAUGUUGAUCUUGGGGAAGGAGAAGGCAAAUGACAAGAGCACGCAAUGGCUCUUCAGUAUCCGCUGGGAAGAGGCACACCACAUUCCCACUGACAUUUUAUGGAAGCAGGCUGUGUGGCCAUGCUUGAGAUCAGUGUGUGGGGAAGUAAAUUCACCCACAGGGUAGACAGAGCAACCCCAUGGCAGGAGUGGAUGUGUUCAACCCUCCACAUAGGGCAGCCAAUGAGAAGAAAAACACAGUCCACCACACUUCAACAUGUUUGAAUUUUGGUCCUUUUUCAAUGACAUUCCUAUUUGAGAUCUCUUCUGACGGCUUUAGGGCCAUUCCUAAGAUUCAGAGAGCAGUGUAGCGUGACUCACUGUAUGCCCCUGGCAAGGACUGAGUGUGGCCCACAAAGCCUAGAAUAUUUAUUUUCUGACUCUUUCCAAAAGAGUUUGUCAACCCCCAGAAUAAAACUAAAUUUGGAGGCCAGGUGUGAUGGCUCAAACCUAUAAUCCUAGCACUUUGGGAGUCAAAGGCAAGAGGAUCCCUUCAGCCCAGGGGUUCAAGACCAGCCUGGGAGAACUUGUCUCUGAAAAAUAAUUAAUUAAUUAAUUAAUUAAUUUAAAAAAAAAAAAAACCUUAAAUGUGGGAUUGGUCCUGGAAGCUUGGUUUCAUUGGCACUGGGAGCAAUUAUGUCCAUCCCAGAUGAAAUCAGCUUCUACAAGUAACAAAUCUCACCUUUAAAGCCAGCGGUUACUAAUCAGUGUAGAAUUACUCCUCUAGAAUCUGGAGUCCAGACGCCACUCCAGUGAAUCUGUGUAUCCAUGUUCCUGGUGUUGCACUUACCACACAGGAUUAUAAUUACAAUUUUAUGUCCCACAAACAGACUAUGGUAACAUCCCAUACUCAGCCCAGUGCUUGACAAAGGUAUUUUUGUAACUGUUUUUGAUUGAAUUAAACUAAACUAU
ensembl:lncRNA BASP1-AS1 BASP1 antisense RNA 1